GCCAGUGUGGCAUAGUGGUUUGAGUGAUGGACUAUGACUCUGGAGGCCAGGGUUCGAUUCCUCUAUCUUGGCC